UCAGACGAUGCGUCAUGCAUAUCAAUAAGCGGAGGAAAAGAAACUAACAAGGAUUCCCCUAGUAACGGCGAGUGAAGCGGGAAGAGCUCAAAUUUGAAAUCUUAAAGGGUUUCCCUUUACGAAUUGUAGUUUAAAGAAGUGUUUUCUGUUGAGGUUUUGGUAAAAGUUCUUUGGAAUAGGACAUCAUAGAGGGUGAGAAUCCCGUAUUUGACCUUUACUUUCAACUUUGUGAUACACUUUCAAAGAGUCGGAUUGUUUGGGAAUGCAGUCCAAAAUGGGUGGUAAAUUUCAUCUAAAGCUAAAUAUUGGCGAGAGACCGAUAGCGAACAAGUACCGUGAGGGAAAGAUGAAAAGAACUUUGAAAAGAGAGUUAAACAGUACGUGAAAUUGUCAAAAGGGAAGCGUUUGACACCAGUGUUGUUUUUCUGAAAAUCAAUUAAAGAACUGUUUAUGCUAAGCUGUUUAGACUUUAUCAGCUAUCUGUUUAGUUUUGAGCUUUUCUUUAAUGCACUUUUCAGUUAACAAGUCAACAUCAAUUUCUUUUGCUGUAAAAAAGCUUGAGGAAGGUGGCUUGAGAUUCGUCUUAAGUGUUUAUAGCCUCUUGCCUAUGCAGUCGGAGAGAUUGAGGUCUGCAGCGUAGAUCCUUCGGGGCUAAAUGCAUUCGUGCUAAGUUAUAGCAUUUCAUAGACAACUUGUUGACUAUGAUUUGUCUUGUAGCUUACUCGCUUAUGUUAUUUUACCUACGCUUAGGAUGUUGAAUCUGUGCGAGACUAC
rnacentral:rRNA from 1 species